CCCUACGGGGGGCAGCAGUAGGGAAUUUUCGUCAAUGGGCGCAAGCCUGAACGAGCAAUGCCGCGUGAACGAGGAAGGUCUUCGGAUCGUAAAGUUCUUUGGAAGGGGAAAAAGAGCGGAGAGAGGAAAUGGUCUCCGAUUGAUAUUACCCUUCGAGGCAGUCACGGCUAACUACGUGCCAGCAGCCGCGGUAAUACGUAGGUGUCGAGCGUUAUCCGGAAUGAUUGGGCGUAAAGGGUGCGUAGUCGGCCUGCUAAGUCUGACGUGAAAGGUACCGGCUCAACCGGUGCAUGCUGUGUAAACUG
rnacentral:rRNA from 1 species